AGGGCGUGGCUAGGUUGUCUUGAAGGAGAUACAUGAUUGGCCGUUUGCUGCCCGAGUGAAACGAGCCCACCCUCAUGUUUCUAUGACACUUCUAUCCAAAGUUAUUCAUUUGAUCUUUUUCAAUGGAAGUCUAUGGGGCUUGUUGCUAUGGUGCUCUAUAUGGUUGCUAGGGCGUGGCUUGAUAGAUUCACAUCGAUCCUGAGAGACUGAUUGGUUGCCUGAUUCAAAUGAGCCCACCCCCUUGUCUCUAUGACACUGUGAUCCAGAGUUAUGUUCAAUACAAAAUCCCUAUGUAAUUUCCCAUAGUUGGAGAAGCCCUCCCUAUACUUUGUAUUGGGGGCAAAUUUGGGGGGCUCUUGCGCCCCAGGGGUACAACUUAUACCCCACUGCGGGGUAUGUUCUCGCACAGCCUGAUAGCCUCUCCAAAUGUGGUGAUUCACGUGUUUCUGCGAAAUUCUCUCUCAGAGCUAUGCUCCGUCAAAUUUUUUUUUAAUGCAUUUCCUAUGGGACGUUUUUCGGCCGAUUUUUCGCCCGCUGUACGAACAUCGUACGCCCGAUCGCUUAUAAAAGUCAUAGCACACCUCUCCUCAAUAGGGCGCACGAUUUGACGCCUGUUUCGUUGGUCUGUGACAAAAACUGCGGGACGAGUUACGCGCCGAAGUUUUGUACGGAAGAAGUAAGAAGAAGAAGAAGAAUAAUAAGUAUGUGAGAUAAUAAUAGUGAUGCCUUGCCUCCGGCAAGCACCACUAAUAAUAAUAAGUAUGUGAGAUAAUAGUAGUAGUGCUUUGCCUCCGGCAAGCACCACUAAUAAGUAUGUGAGAUAGUAAUAGUGAUGCCUUGCCUCCGGCAAGCACCACUAACUAGAAGGUACAUUUCCUGAAGAAAAUGUGAGUGGUGCUUGCAGUGGCAAAACUCGCCCCUCUGUUGCUAAGGUGUGGUUGCUAGGGUACCCGGGGUGGUUGCUAGGGUCCCUAUGAUGGUUGCUAGGGCCGUUGCUAGGGUACCCAGGGUGGUUGCUAGGGUAAUCGGGGUGGUUGCUAGGGUGUUGCUAUGUUGUUGCUAGGGUACCCGGGGUUGUUGCUAGGGUCCCCAUGAUGGUUGCUAGGGCCGUUGCUAGGGUACUCAGGGUGGUUGCUAGGGUAAUCGGGGUGGUUGCUAGGGUGUUGCUAUGUGGUUGCUAGGGUACCCGGGGUGGUUGCUAGGCAGUUGCUAUGGUCUCCUGGGUGGUUGCUAUGAUGUUACUAGGUGGUUGGUAGUUGUCACAGAUGGUCACUAUGUAGUUAUUAUAGAGUUCUUAGCCCAUUUGAGCACUUAGCUAAUCACUAUUAGCAUGUAGCUAAUCACUGCUAGCAUGACUAGCAUGUUGGAAGUCCAGUGUGCUAGCAUGAGUCAAAAAAUCCAACCGCCAUGUCUGUACGAUGUUCUGAUGCAGAGAUAUAGAUCUUGCAAAACGGUUGCUAGGGUACUGUGUUUGGUUGCUAGGGAGUGGCCUGGCAGCUGCCAAUGAUGAUACUUCAAAGUCUGCUUGACAAUAUAAACCAACCCCCAUGCCUCCAUGUCUUUCAGAUGUUAAGAUAUCUCUCUUUGGAUUUAGGUUGCUAGGUAGCUCCUAAUGGUUGCUAGGGCGUGGCUAUGAAGUGUUGAAGGUGAUUCGUGAUUGGCCGUUUGCUGCCCCGAGUCAAACGAGCCCACCCUCAUGUUUCUAUGAUACUUCUAUCCAAAGUUAUUCAUUUUAUAUUUUUCAAUGGAAGUCUAUGGAGCUUGUUGCUAUGGUGCUCUAUACGGUUGCUAGGGCGUGGCUUGAUAGAUUCACAGUGAUCCUGAGAGACUGAUUGGUUGCCUGAUUCAAAUGAGCCCACCCCCUUGUCUCUAUGACUAUGUGAUCCAGAGUUAUGUUCAAUGCAAAAUCCCUAUGUAAUGUCCCACAGUAGGAAAAACACAUUGUUUCAUGGGCGAUCCCUCCCCAUUGGCUUAGUAUGGGGCAACUUUGGGGGGCUCUUGCGCCCCAGGGGUACAACUUAUACCCCAUUGCGGGGUAUGAUCGCGCAUAGCCUGAUAGCCUCUCCAAAUGUGGUGAUUCACAUGUUUCUGCGAAAUUCUCUCUCGGAGCUACGAUCCGUCAAAGUUGGCCGUAAUGCAUUGUCUAUGCGAUUUUUCGCCCGUUUUUUCGCCCGGUGUACGAACAUCGUACGCCCGAUCGCUUAUAAAAGUCAUAGCACACCAUUCCCGAUUAGGCCGCACGAUUUGACGCCUCUUUUGCGGGUCUGUGACAAAAACUGCGGGACAAGUUACGCGCCGAAAUUUUGGCGGAAGAAGAAUAAGAAUAACUAGAAUGUACAUUUCCUGAAGAAAAUGUGAGUGGUGCUUGCAGUGGCAAAACUCUGCGCCCUGUAGCCACCCAUGAUGCCUGUGUGAUGUUUUGAAGCAGAGAUAGAAGGAUUUAUAUUGCUACAUGGUUGCUAGGGUGCUCUAUAUGGUUGCUAUGGUGUGACUAUAUAGUUUAUGGGGUGAUAUUUAAAGAUUAUUUACCAGCCUGAAUGCAAAAAGCCCAAGCCAGUGUUUCUAUAUAGUUAUUUUUGCUGAGAUACAGCUUUUAAAUGUAGUUAAACAGUUGCUAGGGGGCUAAAAUUGGUUGCUAGGGCAUGGAUAUGAAGUUGUUAUGUCACUACUUAUGGACUGCUUGAUAGGCCGAGUCAAAAGAGCCCUCUCCCAAGCCUCUAUGACUUUCUAAUCCAAAGAUAUGAUGUCAGAUAGUUUUUCCAAUGUUAAGUCAAUGGGAUAUUUUGACACAUUUUCUUCGCCCGCUGUACGAUUAUCGUAAGUCCGAUUGCUUAGAAAAGUCAUAGCACACCUCUCCUCAAUAUGCCGCACGAUUUGACACCUCAUUCAUGGGUCUGCGACAAAAAGUGCUGGAGGAGUAGCGUGCCGAAGUUUUGUCAAGGCGGAUAGUAAUAGUAACACUAGAAGGUACAUUUCCUGAAGAAAAUGUGAGUGGUGCUUGCAGUGGCAAAACUCGCCCCUCUGUUGCUAGGGUGUGGUUGCUAGGGUACCCGGGGUGGUUGCUAGGGCGGUUGCUAGGGUCCCUAUGAUGGUUGCUAGGGCCGUUGCUAGGGUACCCAGGGUGGUUGCUAGGGUAAUCGGGGUGGUUGCUAGGGUGUUGCUAUGUGGUUGCUAGGGUACCAGGGGUGGUUGCUAGGGCGGUUGCUAGGGUCCCCAUGAUGGUUGCUAGGGCCGUUGCUAGGGUACUCAGGGUGGUUGCUAGGGUAAUCGGGGUGGUUGCUAGGGUGUUGCUAUGUGGUUGCUAGGGUACCCGGGGUGGUUGCUAGGGCGGUUGCUAGGGUCCCCGUGAUGGUUGCUAGGGCCGUUGCUAAGGUACCCAGGGUGGUUGCUAGGGUGAUUGGGGCGGUUGCUAGGGUGUUGCUAUGUGGUUGCUAGGGUACCCGGGGUGGUUGCUAGGGCGGUUGCUAUGGUAACCUGGGUGGUUGCUAGGGCCGUUGCUAAGGUACCCAGGGUGGUUGCUAGGGUAAUCGGGGCUGUUGCUAGGGUGUUGCUAUGUGGUUGCUAGGGUACCCGGGGUGGUUGCUAGGCAGUUGCUAUGGUCUCCUGGGUGGUUGCUAUGAUGUUACUAGCUGGUUGGUAGUUGUCACAGAUGGUCACUAUGUAGUUAUUAUAGAGUUCUUAGCCCAUUUGAGCACUUAGCUAAUCACUAUUAGCAUGUAGCUAAUCACUGCUAGCAUGACUAGCAUGUUGGAAGUCCAGUGUGCUAGCAUGAGUCAAAAAAUCCAACCGCCAUGUCUGUACGAUGUUCUGAUGCAGAGAUAUAGGUCGUGCAAAACGGUUGCUAGGGUACUCCAUUUGGUUGCUAUGGAGUGGCUUGGCAGCUGCCAAUGGUGAUACUCCAAAGGCUGCUCGUCAAUAUAAACCAACCCCCAUGCCUCUACGAUGUUCUGAUGCAGAGAUAUAGAUCUUGCAAAACGGUUGCUAGGGUACUGUGUUUGGUUGCUAGGG